rnacentral:rRNA from 1 species
UACGUAGGGUGCAAGCGUUAAUCGGAAUUACUGGGCGUAAAGCGUGCGCAGGCGGUUGUGCAAGACGGAUGUGAAAUCCCCGGGCUUAACCUGGGGAAUUGCAUUCGUGACUGCACGGCUAGAGUGUGUCAGAGGGGGGUAGAAUUCCACGUGUAGCAGUGAAAUGCGUAGAUAUGUGGAGGAAUACCGAUGGCGAAGGCAGCCCCCUGGGAUAACACUGACGCUCAUGCACGAAAGCGUGGGGAGCAAACAGG